rnacentral:lncRNA from 1 species
UCGCGCCACUGCACUCCAGCCUGGGUGACAGAGCAAGACUCCGUCUCAAAAAAAACCCCAAAAAACCUGUGGCUUCUGCCUUGUCUUCUGUCCCUGGGAUUACUCCCUCUGGGAGAAAGCAGGUGUCAUGUCAAGGGGACACCCAAACAGCUCUGUGGAGAGUUCAGUGCCAUGAGGAACUAAGAUCUCCUCCCACAGCCGUGCAGCCGUGUCGGGAACUUGAGGGUGAAUCCCCAAGCACAGUGAAAUCUUCGGAUGACAGCAGCCCCAGCAGCAUCUUGAUUGCCGCCUCGUGAGUGAUCCUAAAACAGAAACUUUCAGCUAAUUUGCCUCCUCAUUUCUGACCCACACAAACUGAGAUUCAAAAACGUGUUGCUUGUGUUAAGCCCUCAAGUUCUGGGGUAAUUUGUUACACAACAAUAGCAGGAAGAAAAGGAGAAGUAUCACUCUUUUUGCUGCACAAAUGUGAAAACUCACAAUAAAGAGAAGGGAGAAAGCAAGGAGGAACAGCAGCUGCCUUCAUUUGUAGCAGCCCUUCUCUGCAAGAUGAACAGCGGUCUUUUUAUUCUGCCACACUGAUUGAUUUCCUAAAGGUCUUUUGGUGACAGUGUCUCCCGGAAGUACAGAAAAACCCCAAUAAUUGAUAUGGGAUUAUAUAAAUAAAAAUAAGAGAUUUUCACACCUGAAAAACGUUUCUCUGCAUUAUCACGUCUACCCCAAAUCUUUGGUGUGCAGCUCCAGAAUAGGGUAACCACAUACAGAAAGCAGUGAGCUUCUACAUGCCUGGAGAUGGAGAAGGAUGGGCUAUGCCGUGUCCUAUAAAGUUAACUUAAUUACUGCAGGCCAGAUUUUUCUCUUUAAGGAAUUUUUUUUUUUUUUU